rnacentral:rRNA from 1 species
UACAGAGGGUGCAAGCGUUAAUCGGAAUUACUGGGCGUAAAGCGUGCGCAGGCUGUUUUGUAAGUCAGAUGUGAAAUCCCCGAGCUCAACUUGGGUACUGCGUUUGAAACUACAAGACUAGAAUAUGUCAGAGGGGGGUAGAAUUCCACGUGUAGCAGCGAAAUGCGUAGAGAUGUGGAGGAAUAUCAAUGUCGAAGGCAGCCCCCUGGGAUAAUAUUGACGCUCAUGCACGAAAGCGUGGGGAGCAAAC